UGUAGGCAGGGCUUGAAUGCGUGGGGU
rnacentral:piRNA from 1 species